GGGUGUGACUGCGUACCUUUUGUAUAAUGGGUCAGCGACUUAUAUUCUGUAGCAAGGUUAACCGUAUAGGGGAGCCGCAGGGAAACCGAGUCUUAACUGGGCGUUAAGUUGCAGGGUAUAGACCCGAAACCCGGUGAUCUAGCCAUGGGCAGGUUGAAGGUUGGGUAACACUAACUGGAGGACCGAACCGACUAAUGUUGAAAAA
rnacentral:rRNA from 1 species